rnacentral:rRNA from 1 species
UACGUAGGGGGCAAGCGUUGUCCGGAAUCAUUGGGCGUAAAGAGCGUGUAGGCGGCCAGAUAAGUCCGCUGUGAAAUCUCGAGGCUCAACUUCGAGCUGUCGGUGGAAACUGUCUGGCUAGAGUCCGGAAGAGGAGAAUGGAAUUCCUGGUGUAGCGGUGAAAUGCGCAGAUAUCAGGAAGAACACCGGUGGCGAAGGCGGGUCUCUGGGCAGUAACUGACGCUGAGGAGCGAAAGCGUGGGGAGCGAACAGG